CUCCAUGUGUUCCACCUGGGCCUCCUCCUGUGUGUUGAUGCAUGUCUCCUCUCAGUGUCAAGUGGAUGCUUCUUCACUUCCCAGAGUUUUACCUUCAUCACACCUCUGGAUUAAUUAAACAGAGACCUGAGGACCUCUCUCAUCGUACCAACACUCUUUGAGGACAGCUCUGACUCAUCUCUGAAGCCUCUGCUCCGGGGGAUGUUGGGAUCAAGGCCUCUGAAUGGAUUGGAGAUUGAUGCAGAGAGAAUGAAACGAUGCAGCGUG